UCUCCCUCAACUGCUCCGGCCAGCGAGCUCCAAGCAAUCAACAUUAGCAACCGGCGAGGAGAUCAACAACAUCUCCAGCCAACUGACCUCGACCUCGAUCCACUGCCCUUCUCCUUUAAUUGAAGGCAACUGAGGAAGCUCAACAUCUAAAAAAGUUGAUACACGACUAUAUUGCUUCUUUCAUCAAAGUAGGAGAUAAGGAAAAAGAAUUGGGACGCACUCCCAUUGAACCAGAGGUUUUCAAAAAGACUCAUGUCAGGAAGAAAGAAAAUGAGUUGGAUCCGGAUGUGUGGGUGGAGGAAAGGGCCGAACAAACUUUU